CUCAUAAAUAUGAAGCUGAGAGUCUGUCGUGUAAAUGUGUGAUCAUUUUUUAGCAUAUUUACCUCUUUACAUAAUGGGAUAAGAUAGAGUAUCAGGUCACUUUUCUCACAUCUUGUCAUAGGUGUGAAGGAGCUUGACGCAAAAUGGAUUGGAUGGGCUGGUUUAUAUGCACCAGAUGAAAUGGACAGCAAUCACUUACCAAAGCACUAGCAGAAAAGAGUUUGCUUUUGAUCUUGCAAUAAACUUGGUUUGCAAUGUACUACAUUCAGUGAAAGUCUUGUGGAAUAGGUUGGCUUUGGUUUCUCUGUUCAAACCAGGCAAUGACUUUUGCUGUCACCUUUUCUAAUUUGGCAGCUACCUUAACUGUUGGCAUCUACCAGAAAAUCAUCGUUUAGUUUUUGUCACAGACUAGAAGAAAAGCUCUUGGACAUGGUAUGAACCGCAUCUCUCUUUCUUUCUUUUUCUUUUUUAUAUGCUUUUAUAAGACAGGAGAUAUCUGUAUUUGGCAAAUAAUAUGCUAUGCCAAUUUGCUGAUCCCACGUUCUGCACCCAUAUGGAUAAAAUCAACUGUUUGACAUUGAAAUAGACAAGGAGCUGUUCGCCGAUAUAGCUUUAGAGGUUGAUGUUCGAACUAGGGAUGACUGUAAUGUGUUCAACCAGAGCCAACCCAAAAAGGAGUCAUCUCCGCUCAAGGCAAUUGAUUUUGGGUUGUCUGUGUUCUUUAUACCUGGGGAGCGGUUUACAGAGAUAGUGGGCAGUCCAUAUUACAUGGCACCCGAGGUGUUAAAACGAAACUACGGCCCAGAGGUCGAUGUCUGGAGUGCUGGAGUGAUUCUUUACAUCUUGCUUUGUCGAAUCGAACAUCAUACAUUGCCUCAAUUCACCUUGUUAACAAACCAAAUCUUCCACUUGCAUCGUGAUUUUCAGGUUUUUUGGAAACAACAACUUGUCUGAUACAUGACUGCCAUCCCAAAAAAGCUAUAAACUUCUUAAUGUGCUUUAGGAAGGGAUGAAUGGGAGUUAGAUGGUUGGAUUUUUUAUUUUUUAUUUUAUUUGUAUUUGUAACUAUUUAAUUGAUUGCCCAUGUAAAUAUUAUUUUAAUAUUCAUUCUCAUGGUUGCGGCAGCUUUAGUAGAGAAGAGAAGGGAAAUGACUAUAGCAUCAAACAAAGAAGCAAUCUGCAUCUUUUGGAUUGCACCAGAUGCAGUUGCUGAUCAUAUUUGGGCUAUUAGAUAUGUUCACGAUAGUGGGCCUCAUUGAGCUCUUUUACAAAAGCAAUUGAGUCACCUUUAACUAAAAAACUGGCAAAAAUCAGACCCGAGUUUUGUUUAUAAUUGGUUUUCCAAAUCCAUUGAUCCACUCACUGCAUACAUCCAUUAGAUGAUCCUAUGCCCGACGAUUGGCUGGAUUGUUUUAAAAAAU